UUGGAUCCAAAUGUAACCAUCUUCUCCCCAAUCUUCUCCCCAUGAAUUUUUCGCUAUCCAGUAAUCUACACCAUCCGCUGAACCAUAACCCACAAGUAAAACAAAGUGAUUAAUCCCAUACGGACUUGUACAGUUUUCUCCAUCAUAAAUUCCCUGCACAAAUUAAUUAAUGAAUUAACAACAAUAACAAUAAUACUAUAGAGUAUACUGUACAGUAAUAAUGAAUUGAUGAGGUUAAUUUGAUGAUCCGAAAAAGAAAGAAAUCAUGAUUUCGAAUCUUUUCCCACCAAAAUUGACCGAUAAAAAAAUAGUAUAAUAAUAAUAAUAAUAAUUCCCAAAUAGUAAGAUAUUACUUUACCCCGGUGUAUAAAUGAAAAUCUUUUGCAUCAAUGGAGACACUAAUUGGUUGCUCAAGGAUGGCGCUUAAGAACGCUUGCUCUGUCUCUGAUUCUGUACUCUCAUCUGACAUUAUUAGAGUUUCAUAUCCGUCAAUUGUAACCUUGUCUUGUAUCUACUCCCAGAAAAAAAAAAAAAAGUUGCACAAAAUUAAACAAAGAGAUGAAGGGUUAAAUUAAUUAAAAGGAAUCGCAUGCAUGCAUAUUAUUCAGUUAUAUAUUCACAGACCUUAUUGGCUUUGCAUCUACCCUCUUUAGCUCUGUAAGGAUAAUCAUCAUCAGUGGCAAUCCCACCAUGUUCUAAAACCCAUUCGAACGAUUGAUAGUGCCAUCCAUUGUAACAACCUUCGCUUUCUUCCACACAGUCUACGAGUUCUUGUUCAGAAAGGCUAACAAGGUCUCCUGUUGCUAUUGCAUGUGCUGCUUCUAUGGCUCCCGUGGCAGAAAACGCCCAACCGCUUCCUAUAUAUCAAAAUGAUUUCACAUACCACAAGACAAAGAAAAAAAGUUAGUGUUAAUAAUUAUUUUCCCAUUCCAAAAUAAGUGUCACACUAAAAAAAAUUGUAGCAAAAUAAAUAUCACAUUUAACUUUUCAACGUAAAAUUAAUUAUUUUUUUCACCAAUAACUCUAAUAAAUAUAUUUUUAGUUUUUAAAUCUAGUAUUAAUGGUAAUCUCUUUCACUAAUAAGGUUAGUUUGGUAAAAAUAUUAUUUUAUUUUAUUUUAUUUUUAAUUUAUAUAAAACAAUUUAAGACAACUGUUUAUUUUAAGAUAGAAGGAGUGGUAAUUACGUAGUAAAAACAAUUAAUGGUUUCACAUACCACAGCCCCCUUGGUACUUUACUUGGGUGAUGACACCUUUUUUCCUCCAAUCCCAUGAUGCAGGUGGAUGGUCACAAGAAUAUUGUUCCUUCUUCAUUUUCUUGUUGGCCAUUUUGAUUUGCUGCGACACAUCCUUGGGAGCUUGCAAGUACUUUUUGCUGAACUCUUGAGGAGUGAUGUCAGCAAACUUGUUCAAUCCUAAACGAUGAGAAUGGGGUGAUUUUCUGUUUGCAUUCAUGUCCCUGAUAUAGUUCAAGUUAUUCUUGAAAAUCUCAAGUCUCUUUGCCUCUUCUUCGUGGUUAUGGUAGACACGUCCAUGCUCACUCUUCCAUAGUUGGAACAGUGAAGACACCUGUUUCUGUGUGGUAAACUUGGUUAGGUCAAGGUCCAAUAUGGAACGAUGAGUUGAUAUGCUGGAACUAGAAGAGAGACCUAAGAGGGAGAAAAGAAGCAACACAAGGAAACCCAUAACUUGGUGGAAGAAUUUUAUGAUUUGAAAUUAAGAUAUGGUCACUUCACUUGUAGCAUGUCGUAUAUAUAGUGAUUAGUGAGCUAGCUAGUAAUGACUGAAGAAGUUCCCUCGUAGCUAUAUAUUUGGUUUAAAUUAAUUUCUGAUACGUAAUUGAAUUGUGAUUUGGCUUAAAAACCAACAGGGAAUGACAGUUUGCCAACUUUUUUAUUAUUAAACUAGAACUUCUGUAUUGUUUUGAUAUGAAUUUUCAUUAUCCAGCAGGGGCAGUGAAAAAGCCGGUCUAUCUAGCCAAUAUUCUUUAAUUUGAUUAUUUUGGAUUAUAAAAUUGGAUAUAAUUCUCUUUAUUUAAAAUUUAUCUCUUUCUGUAAGUUUUGUGCUAACACAAAAUGAAUUUUCAUUAUAUAUAAAAUAGUAAACUUGUAUAUAUCCAUUUAAAAAAAAAUUCAAUUGAUGUUAAACGUGUAUAUUCUAUCUGAUUUCGACUUUCAUUACUGCUUGAAUCACGAUGUUUAUUUAUUUAGUUGUAAUUAAUUUGAUGUGAAUGUGAAGUAGGACAUUUUUCAAAUUUUUGCCUCACUGUUACCAUUCUUGUUUCGGUUUGGUAAAAUGUGAAAUUGCAGCUUAUAUACAGCACACAGUUGAUUUAAAGCGUAUUUUUAUCAGCUUAUUUCAAAGUUAAAAGAAGUUUUAGAGCUUUUGAUGUUUUCUUUUCUCAAAAUAAUCUAUAUGCAUUAAUUUAUACGUCCGAUGGCAAUGUGUGUUUGAAGUUUAGGUAAUAGGACGCAUUUUAUUGCAUUGGGUACUCAGGUUUAGAUCAUGAUUCUUCCUUCAUUUGAUUCAUAUGCAAUAGUUAGACUCAUUUAGGUUAUUUAGCAGGGCCAUAAAACCAAUAGCAUAAUACUGCAAUAAUUAAUAAUGCAUAUAUAAUAAUGUAUAUUUUUUUAUAUAAAAGUGGAGCAUAUAAAAUGAAAGGAAUAGAUUAGUAUCCUUAAUUUACUUGCAAGUGAUUGCAUGCACUUUUGUCUGAUUCACACAUGUAAAAUCGAAAAAUCAUUCAAUAUUGGCUUUGUACUCAAAUGGUCCAAACUCGACACUGCAUUCAAGAUGAUGUGCGAUAUGAUUCUGGCCUUUUGUUUACAGAAAAAAGUCGGCACUGUUAAAAUUAUUAUUCUAUAAUCGAUUGAAGUUUUGUCCAUUGUUUAAUCUGCGUACACGUCUUGGGGAAUGAUGAAUCGUUGAUAAGCAGCGAGCCUCAUAAGCUAGACUGCUAGAGGCACAUCACCUUCAUCAGAGUAACGUGUUGUUUGCACCUGCAUGUGCUAUUUGUUAUUUUAGUUGGAGUUUUAGCAAUAAGGCAAUGGAACCUGAAACAACUCAAAAUGUAAUUUGAGAGCUUUUUUUAGUUAUCUUUUAAAGUAUAUCAACAUUUUCAUUUUCAGAAAAAAAAUCACUCUAAUUAAACAUAUUUUGAAAGAUAAAGAAAUUGUGAGUUUAAACUCUACCACUAAUAAAAACUAACAAUUAAAAAAAAUCAAAUUAGUCAUUGAUGAACUAAAUAAACCAAGUUAGUUCUGAAAAAGUUAAACCAUUAUAUUAAUUAAUUCAUAUAUAUAUAUAUAUAUAUAUAUAUAUAUAUAUAUAUAUAUAUAUAUAUAUAUAUAUAUAUAUAUAUAUAUUAACUAGUUUCCCUGACAAAUACGUUACACCUUUAAUUUAUUCCUUACAUUUGCAAUAAGAACUUGAUCAAUAUAUUAUUAGUUUGAAUGAAACUAAAUUUAGUCUCUUAAUUAAAUAAGAUAUUAGGUUUGAGUUUUUUAAAUGAAUAUACACGAUUGAUAAAAAAAAAUUCAUUAAACAAUUUAAGUUUCUGAACAAAAAAUAAUCAUAAGGAAAAUUAUUGGAUAGCACAUUGAUAUUAUGAUGACUUUAAAAAAAAACUUGACCUCCUUUAAUGCAAUCUUCUCAAGGAGAAAACCCAUUACCAAAGUCAUGGUUGGAGACUUAAAAGAUUGAGUCAGAGAUGCAGGAGAAGACCUUAGGAUUCUCAUGAGCCUUAAGGUAGAUUUUCGAUCAAUAGACCAAGUAUGAAUCCACUUAUUUUUGUACAUAUAUUAUAUUAGGAUUUCAUUAUUUUUGAGUCUUGUAUUUAGGACUCCAUAGUGUAAGGAGGGUACUCUGAUAAUAUAGGAUUUUUCAGUCUUUGUAUUUUAGGACACCUAGACUAGUUUUUGUAUUUGAGAUAGUUUUGUAAUUUCACGUGCAUUCAGUGCACUAUUUGAUGUGUGUGUUAAAAAAGAAAUUUAAUUGAAUUGGGAGAAGCUCAAUCCAAUUAAAUUUUGGACCAGCCUAAAGGGAAGGUGAGCAUUUGCUUGUUACACCUCAUUGUCACAUCAUAUGGUCAUACUUUGUACAUGUCCUUUAUAUUUUACAUGCCUCAUGACACCUAAGCACACUUAGUGAAGAACUUUGGACUUGAUAUUGGAUUAGCAGACUAAACCAUAGUUGAAAUUCACUGAUUAUAAUUAAUGAAAUUUUGACUCAAAAUUUGACUCUAUAAAUUCAAAUUCAAGUGAAAUUUGAAUAGAAAUCUAAAUUUUUCUCCAAUUUUGAAUGACACUUAAACUAUAGAGGUCUUGUGUGUGUAUUUUUUCAAUUUUGAUCAUUUAAGAAAUUAGACUUCAAUGUUCAGACCUUAUUUGAGGCAUAAAUUUUGUGUCAUCUCUCUCCCUCUCCCUCCACUCAUCUUCUCUUACUUUCAAGCUCUUAUUCAUGACUUCCUAUGGUGGUAAGCUUAUUCUUGACUCAUUUUUUCUUAAAAAUGAGGUCUCCAAUCACCUUUCUUACUUCUUCAUUUUGUUGUCAUUGAUCUUCAAGAAGCAAAUGACUUCAUUAAUGAAAAAGAUCCAAGACCUACAAACUCUACAUAAAACUACAUCAUCCUUACUCCCUUAACAUGAAAUCACAAUCAAAAUCAUGUCCACAAAAGACAUUUUAUCCUUUAUUUUCUCCUGAACAUAGACAAAAUCACGUCCAACUUAGUAAAAGGUACCUAAAAAGUUCUUCAAGAGAAUCAAGACGAACAUGCUAUUUUCCCUGAAAAAUUCAUAAUCGUUUAUAGUUAAAACAAGUACCUUUUGUGUGCCAUGUUUUUGCCUUCAUAAUUGUGCUAUAUGAGAAUUUUCCAUUAUAAUUGUAUGUCAUGUUAUGAGGGUUGUUUAUCCGACCAAGGUUGACCUUGACUGGCCGUGUAUUGAGUCAUUAAGCAUUAAAAAAAUAUUUAUAAAUAUUUCUGGAUCGUUAAUUUAAUAUGCUAGUGAGAAAAGAGAGAAUGCUAGAUUUUUUAUCCAUAGUAAUAAAACUCAAACAUUAACAGAUUUAUAACAAAUCAUUAACAUUUUUUAACCAACUAAUUCUCCUAUUGGGAGAAUGCUAGGUUAGUUAAAAGACGAACAUACUAUUCUCCAUGAAAACUUCAUAAUCGUUUAUAGUUAAAAGAAGUACCUUUUGUGUGCCAUGUUUUUCCCUUCAUAACUGUGCUAUAUGAGAAUUUUCCAUUAUAAUUGUAUGUCAUGUUAUGAGGGUUGUUUAUACGGCCAAGGCUGAUCUUGACUGGCCGUGUAUUGAGUCAUUAAGCAUUAAAAAGAUAUUUAUAAAUAUCUCUGGAUCGUUAAUUUAAUAUGCUAGUGAGAAAAGAGAGAAUGCUAGAUUUUUUAUCCAGUGUAAUAAAACUCAAACAUUAACAGAUUUAUAACAAAUCACUAACAUUAUUUAACCAACUAGCCAUUCUCCGAUCGGGAGAAUGCUAGGUUAGUUAUGAAGUUUGAAAUGAGAGAUUGCACUAUUUGAAGUAAUAAAAUAAUCGUAAUUAGCUUAAUUAAAACAUAUAAUAUAUUGAUAAUAAUUAAUUUAAUUAUUUCAAAUUAGAAGAUAUAUUUGUUCUAAUUAUCUUAAUUAUUAUAUUUAUAUAAAUUAAUGAAUUAAAAAAUAGAAAAAAAAAUGUCUAAUAUUUUCCUGCUCAAUUGCAUACUUUUAUUAUGAUAAAGAUGUAUUCAGAGUUUGGAUUUUGCUGUUACUCUAUCAGAGUUAAUGCUACAUGUCAUUUGAUCUCUCCCUUCAGGACUAAGCUUGACUCUUGAAGCUUUUAUGUGUACUUGUCAUAUUAUUGGGUGCCGUCUUUAAAAAACAAAUCAACCUUUCGACGGUAGCUAGCUAGCUAGCUAAUGGGAAAAACUAAUUAAACAGGGCAUUAAUUAUUCCUUUCACAUAGUCAAGGUAAAGGCAUGAAGCAAAGGAAAAUCCAUCUGCGAAUAUAUAUGUUGAUUAAAACACAUGCAACAGUGGCAGUGUUCUAUUUUAUUAUUUUUGAGAAAAUAUAGUUGUGUGUUUUAUUUUUGCUUUCACGUCAGUACUACGUGGGGCAUGCAUGGUCACAAAAUCAUAUACAAUAUAUGAUGCUUGUCUCUAAGAAAACAAGCACUCGUUAUAAUUGAACCUUCACUGCUCAAAGAGGAGAGUAAUCCACUCUUUGAUCAGCUUUAACACGAGCAGACACGAGUGUUGCUGAUUUCUCUUUGGUUGGCCAAGAAGCAAAAAAAUUCAUCCCACAUACUCCCACUUUAUGACCAGUUUUUCUUUGGAUCCAAAUAUAACCAUCCAUUAUUCCCCAAUCUUUUCCCCAUGACUAUUUUGCUAUCCAAUAAUCUACACCAUCCACGGAACCAUAACCCACAAUUAAAAUAAAGUGGUUAAUCCCAUAAGGACUUGAAUAGUAUUAUUACUUACGCCAGUGUAGAAAUAAAAAUCUUUUCCGUCCAAGGCCACACUAAUUGGUUGCUCAAGGGUGGCGCACAACAAUGUGUUAAAUUAAAAUUAAAAAAGAUUUUAUUUAAAAAUAAAUAAAGUUUUUAAAAAAUAAUGAGAUUUUUACAAUUAAAUAGAUAAGAAGAAAUAAUUUUAUUAAUUAAAAUAAUAAUUUUAAGGUAAAUAAAAUAAAUCUACAUCCUUAGAAAAAAAUAUUUUAUUCAUUCAUUUGAUAAGAAAUAAAAUAGAAUUUUUUUAUAAAAUAAUAAAAUAAAGAAAAAUAAAAUAAAUAAUAGGCUCUGAGUACCCUAGUUAUAAAUAGAGACAUAUUAAGUCGGUCAGUUUUCACAUUGACAUACGUCUCUAUGCUUUGUCUUCCUCUGAAUUUUGUUUUCCCUUCAUCCCCUCUCAAAAUCCUCUCUUUUUUUAAUAUACACCCAAACCCAUUUUAGUAAAACGACGAUUUCAGACUCGUUAAUCAUUGGAUCAUCGUGAAAUUUAAACACCAGGUUCAAAACUCAUUUUCGCACAUCCCAAACGUUGGGAUUUGUAAAUAAUGUCUAUGGAGAGAAAUGUCCCUCAUACGGAGACAGUGAAACGGAGGCUCCAAUUCUUUCUCCUUCUCUUUAACGCUUGAAUACCUUAGCAAAGCUGCUAGAGACGCUGCUAUCACUACCAGACUACACACGUAAGUCCACUUAGAGGUAACAUAUGAGUUUAUUGCAAUUAGGGUUAAAAUUAAUAUGUGUAGAAAUCCUUAGAGGAUCAAAUUGAGAUUUAUUUUGGAAUGUUUACUGUAUUAUAAUUCUGCCUUUGCAAUUAUAAUUAUGAGAUUAUUAUGUUUGAUGGGUCAAUCGAUGUCUUGAUGUGAAUUGGUUGAUAAAAUUGAGUGCUCUUAGUGUUUUCAUAUUUUUGACCUAUAAUUUUGAUUCAUUUGAUUUUGAUAUGAGUAUGUGAAAUUGUUUGAGGGGUUUAAUCAUACAAACAUAACAUAUUAAUAUUAUUAUUGUCUGGCAUGUAUAUGAUGCAUGAGGAGUUAAUGCAUGACAAGUAUUGUGAUGGAAUCCACUGUGCAAACACGACGAGUUUAAUCACUUUGAGACAUGAAGAGUUAAAAUUAUUUUAAGAACAAUUGAGGAGUCAUGUGUUUUAUACAGUUCAUAGAUAAAAUUUGUGUGCUAAAAUAUUUUCUGGGUUGGACCUGAAUCAAGAGGAAGAAGCCCUGACGAACUCUUCGGAGUCUAGAUCUUAGGAGUAAAUACACCCGGUUUGAGUGAUCCUUUAAACUUGUGUCAGUUCCACAUGAUUGGAGCAUUCUCACAAAAUAACGUGACUUUAACUAGUCUCCCUAUGAUUUUACCUAGUGAGAGUAACUUGACUUACUAGUAUGUGAUAUGUCUUGUAAUGUACUCCUGGGCACCAAACAAGGUUUUUCACUAACAUGGUACCACAUUGCAUAUAUGAUUGAGUCUUAAUAUAUUUGUUGCAUAACGCUUGUGUAUUGAUCAAUAUUGAUUGGUUGAGUGGUAUUGUGUUUUGAUCGUACAUAAAUGAUGUAAAAACGUGUGAGACGUGUAGUGUUGAGAUGUGAUGUUAUGCGAUAAGUGGUGGAAUGACAUGAGUCGUGUUAAAGUAAGAUGUAUUUCAUUUAUAUGAUAUGUAUAUAUAUGUUAUCUCACUUCUCUCUAUUAGUUAGGAAUGUGAUAAUUCACUCUCUGUAUGUUAUUUGUGUUUGGAUCUUAUGAGGAUUUCGAACUUUGUGUUCGAGAGAGCAAAUGGUUAGGUGAAUGACUAUGGAUAACCCCAUGUUAAUUAGAGGAUGCUGAAACACAAUGCUCUCAUAGGAUGUAACAUUGGACCAUAGGGUUCUGUAUUAAUUGCAUGAAGUUUUGGAGAUGUAGUUUUUAUCGUUUUGUUUCACAUGUUGAAUCUUUAGUUCAUUCUUUAGAGUUUUGGACGGCCUGAUUUUGAGUCGGAGAUAUUUCUAAUAAAUUUUAUCCACGUGAAUUUGUUUAAGUGAUUUGAAUAAAGUUAAUUUAAUUAAAUUUUAAAUUCUUAUAUAUUUUUUUAAGUAUAUGUAUGUCGAGAUAAAAAGUGUUACAAUUAGACCAUCAAAAGUAUCAAUUGUAACCUUGUUUGGUGUCUACCUCCAUAAAAGGUGCACAUGCAAAACAAAGAGAUAAAAGGGUAAAUUAAUUAAUGGGUUCUAUUGUCAAAAGAAGGUAAAAGAAAGAGGGAAUGAAUUAUGGAAUCACAUAUUCAAUGAUCGUGAGAGACCUUAUUGGCUUUGCAGGUACCAUUAUUAGCUGUAUAAGGAUAAUCAACUUCAGUGGCAAUCCCACCAUUUUCUAUAACCCAUUCGUAUGCAUGAAAGUGAUAUAUCCACCGUAACAACCGCGGCUCUUAUUGACACAAUCAACGAUUUCUUGUUCAGAAAGGCUAACAAGGUCUCCUGUCACUAUUGCAUUUUUUGCUUCAAUGGCUCCCGUGGCAGAAAAUGCCCAACCGCUUCCUACCAAAAUGGUUUCACACUCCACGAGUCAUUUCCAAAUAAAAAAAAUUGAACCAUGUUAUUGUUAAUUAGAUUAUCUUCAAACUUUUGUAAAAACUAUCAAAUAUAUUUAGUUGACAAACAAAUUUUAAAAAUACAAAACUGUUUUAAGCAAAGCCUUAGUAUAGUUCUAAUGCAACUGUUUAUAUUGGUUCUUAAAAGUUAAAAUUAAGCGACUUGAGAUUACUGUUAGAACAAAUUAAUGAAUUCAUUAAAGUGCUUAUAUAAGUUGUUUGUAUAAAUAAUCGCAAACAAGGUUGUUUAAUCAUUGGAAAAAUAAAUUUCCAAGUCAAAAUUUGAGUUGUUGAACGUGAGUCAAAAGAUAAAAUGAGACUCAAUAAAAAUAAGUUAAGAAUUCAAGUUGCACUCUUUCAUUAGAAUGAAAAUUAUUGAGUAUUUUUAAAUCUUAUAUAAGAAUAAGAGGCUUACUAAAAAGAGUCAUGAUAUUCGUAUACCUCAAAAUGAGAUGGAUUUGGUUGGAAAAAGAGAUAGAAACAAAGGAAAAUGUAGAUAAAGUAAUGGAUGUGAUAAUUUAUGUGAUAUAUAUAAAAAAAAUAAAGACAGAAAGAGAGAAAAAAUAUGGUGAAAAAGAGAUGGAAGAAAAAGUAGAUGAAUAAUAAGUAUUUUGCUGCUAAAAAUGAGAAUUAAGAAACCAUAUGGUAGUAAUAUUGCACGAGUUAACAGGCCCAAAAGGAUAACCAUUAGGCCAACCCACUCAGAGACUAUGUGUGAAGGAGAUAAGGACAGAGUUGACAAAUUGCUGAGAGAUUCCACACCACCAUGUCAGCAUUCUGUUAUAACCACUUAGGAAUAUUUACCAAAUUCUGUUAUUCCAAUACUCUGCACCAGCUGGCCAAUGAUUGGCAGCAACAAUCAUCAUCUGUAUUUCAGUAUAAAUAUUACAAAUAUGAAUAAAACAAGGGCACAGAAUUAUCCAGUAACAAUUUUAGUAUAGCUUAGCAUAGUAUCGGCACCUAACAUAUAAUGUUUAUUAAUUAUGAGGGUCACUUGCACCAUCUCGUAUAUAUAGUGGUUAAUUAGUGGGUAAUGAAGUUCCUACGUACGUUGUUAAAAUACAAUAAUGUUUUAUUAUCCUAACAUACGAGGAUAUGUUUUUUGUUUGCAUUUGUGGUAUUUAAUAUAAUUGUGAUUCGGCCUACAAGCUAGCUAGCUAUAGGGAGUGUCACACAGCAAAAUAACAAGAAUUAAUUUUUAAAUUAAAACUUUUUUUGUUUUCUUCUGAUUAUUGUGGGUUAUAAAAAUGAAGAUAGAUUUAUUUCUUUCUUUAAGAUUUGUCUCUUUCUGUAAUUUUUGUGCUAAUACAAAGUGGAUUUUCUAUAGAAUAUAAUCAACUUGUAUGUAGCCAUUUUAAAAACAUUCAAUUGAUGUCAAACGUGUAAUAUUCUAUCUGUUUGUGACAUUUAGUGCUUGAAUAAUUUGAAAUGUUUGUUUCUUUGGUUAUAUAAUCUGAUGUGAAGUAGGAUACUUUUCAAAGCCUCACUCUGCAACCAUACUUGUUUCCGGUCGUUUGGUAAAAAUCAAGUGAAAUUGCAGCUUACUACGUACACAGUUGAUUUAAAGCGUACACGUUUUUAUCAGCUUAUUUCAAAGUUAAACAACCAUAUAUUUUUUUAAAAUAACAUGUAUGCAUUUAUAUUUUGUUAAACGUGUAUUCUAUCUGUUUUCUAGAUUUAUUGACCAAAUAACAAUAUUUUUCAAAUUAAAACUUUGUAUUCUUUUGUUUAUUGUGGGUUAUAAAACUGUAGUUUUCUUUCUUUCUUUAAGAUUUGUUUCUUUCUGUAAAAGGAAAUACAGUACUGGAGAACCUAUGAACGAUGAAACAUGUUAAAGAGAAAGGCAUGAAGCAAAGGAAAAUCCAUUUGUGGAUAUAUCUCAAAACACAUGCAACAGUGGCUGUGUUCUAUUAUUGACUAUCACAUUAUUUGAAGAAAAACUAGUUCUGUGUUUUAUUUUUGUCCUUCCACAUCAAUACAGCGUGGAAGAUUCAUGGUAACACAGAAUCAUGCAUACGAUGCUUGUCUCUAAGAAAACAAGCACUAGAUAGUUAACUGGACCACCUUCACGGUUCAAAGAGGAGAGUAAUCCACUCUUUGAUCAGCUUUAACGCGAGCAGACACCAGUGUUUCUGAUUUCUCUUUGAUUGGCCAAGAAGCGAAAAAAUUAAUCGCACAUACUCCAAUUGGAUUAGCAAUAUUUCUUUGGAUCCAAAUGUAUCCAUCCAUUCCCCAAUCUUUUCCAAAUGAAUUUUUUACUAUCCAAUAAUCUACACCAUCUAACGAUCCAUAACCCACUAUUAAAACAAAGUGGUUGAUCCCAUACGGACUUGAACAGUUUCCUCCAUCAUAAAUUCCCUGCACAAAUCAAUGAAUAAUAAUAAUACUAACCCCCAAUUAUAUAAUAUUCUUCCAUCAUAUCCCUAAUUAUAAUUAUAAGUUCCUUAAGAAAAAUGAUUAUUUAGUUAAUCUUAUUAAAUAUGUCAAUAAUUUUUACUAUUAUUCCAAAAAAAAUUAUUUUUCUUAUCUUUUAUUUACUUAAUUGUUUUUCAUUAAUUUUUUGAGAAAGAAUAAUUAAGUAAGGAUGUUUAGGAGAAAAAAUAAUUAAUAUAUCUAAAAAUUAGAAAAAGAUCUUAUAAAUAAAAAAACAAAACAAAUUUAUGGAAAAAAAAUAUAAUAAGGAAAGGAGGAAGUAUAUAUUACUGUAAUUAAUUACUUACGCCAGUGUAGAAAUGAAAAUCUCUUGCGUCCAUGGCCACACUAAUUGGUUGCUCAAGGGUGGCGCUCAACAGUGCUUUGUCUGUCUCUGGUUGUGUACUAUGUUCUGAUAUUAUUAGACCUCCAAAAUUGUCAAUUGUAACACUGUUCUGUGUCUACUUCCAGAAAAAGGUACACAAAUGAAAAAAAAAGAUGAAAGGCAAGAGUAAUUAAUGUGUUAUAAAUAUAUGCGUAGACAAGCAAAGUUGUCAAAAGAAGGUAACAGAUCGAGGGAAUGAAAUCACAUAUUCACAUACCUUAUUGGCUUUGCAUGUACCAUGAUCUUCAGCUGUGUAAGGAUAGUCAACUUCAGUGGCAAUUCCACGAUUUUCUAUAACCCAUUCAAAUGCAUGAAAGUGAUAUCCACCGUUACAACUGUUGGCUUUAUAGACACAAUCUGUGAUUUCUUGUUCAGAAAGGCUAACAAGGUUUCCUGUCACUAUUGCAUUUUUUGCUUCAAUAGCUCCCGUGGCAGAAAAUGCCCAACCAUUUCCUAUAUAUCAAAAUGGUUUUCACACUCCACAAAUCAUUUACAAAUAAUAUACAAAAGAAGUUAAUUAGUGUUACUAGCUAUUUAUUAUUAGGUUUAAAUACUUUUUUCCCUAUAGUAUCUUUUUAUUUUUUGUACAUCCUUAACACAUUUUAAAUGAUACCUUAAACAGUAAAAAAAUAUUAUUUAAAAUACUUUAAAAAUAAAAAAAAAACAAAAAUAAAUAUAUUUUGUAAAAACUAAAAAUAAUAAUAAAAACAAAAAUAAAAAAUAAAAUACUAAAUUAGAAGGAAAAAAAAUUAACUUUAUUACUAACAUAGUAACAUCACAUACCACAGUCCCCUUGGUACUUUACUUGGGUGAUGACACCUUUUUACCUCCAAUCCCAUGAUGCAGGUGGAUGGUCACAAGAAUGUUGUUCCUUCUUCAUUUUCUUGUUGGCCAUUUUGAUUUGCUGCGACACAUCCUUGGGAGCUUGUAAGUACUUUUUGCUGAACUCUUGAGGAGUGAUGUCAGCAAACUUGUUCAAUCCUAAACGAUGAGAAUGGGGUGAUUUUCUGUUUGCAUUCAUGUCCCUGAUAUAGUUCAAGUUAUUCUUGAAAAUCUCAAGUCUCUUUGCCUCUUCUUCGUGGUUAUGGUAGACACGUCCAUGCUCACUCUUCCAUAGUUGGAACAGUGAAGACACCUGUUUCUGUGUGGUAAACUUGGAUAG
rnacentral:lncRNA from 1 species